GCAAAUGCAAGGAACGGGAUUAGUAAACCACUCCGGCAGGCCUUCAGAGAACCGGUUGAACGGGGUGCGAGCCGGUGGCCGAGUCGGAGGUUGAACUCGCCCGGGAGCAGUACCGGUGAAGAGAAUUAGCCGGUAACGCAGGCAGCGUUAAAGGCCAUAAUAAGUGGGUAGAUAGAUGGGGCUGUGGCGCAGUUCGGGAGCGCGCUUCCUUGGCAUGGAAGAGGCCGCGGGUUCGAUUCCCGCCAGCUCCACCAAUAUAUUUACCAAAUUGGGUGGUACCACGGGAAUAACUCCCGUCCCUAAG
rnacentral:sRNA from 1 species